rnacentral:rRNA from 1 species
UACGAAGGGGGCUAGCGUUGUUCGGAAUUACUGGGCGUAAAGCGCGCGCAGGCGGCUAUCCAAGUCAGUGGUGAAAGCCCGGAGCUCAACUCCGGAACUGCCAUUGAAACUGUUUAGCUUGAGGACGAGAGAGGUGAGUGGAAUUCCCAGUGUAGAGGUGAAAUUCGUAGAUAUUGGGAAGAACACCAGUGGCGAAGGCGACACACUGGCCCGUUACUGACGCUGAGGCGCGAAAGCGUGGGGAGCGAACAGG